UUAUGUAAUCAGGUAAAACCUACUCUUGCAUGCUCCUGAUUGUGUGUGUAUUUUGUAUCUUCAGAGUUAUUUUAUUCUUCGCCUUAUGUAUUCAAUGUGGAACAAGUUAUAUAAAACUUUAAAUGUACAUGAUGGAGCUCCUUUGUGAGCUUCCAUAGUUGGAGAAUGUGAUAUGCCAUUUUUUAAAUAUACUUUGUGGCUUGUUUUGCUCUCUGCUCUAACAUCUUUUCUUCUAGGAACGCUUGUAGGCUGAAAGUCCACUAGACAGCUUUCUGAAAUCACUUGGACUUGAGAAGUGUUCUAUUUCCUUCCAGUUAGAGUAGGUUUGGCUAUUUACCUAAAUCUUUGCAUUGUUUUUUUUUCGUGUUUGGCUGACAAUUGUUGUGUUGCUGGUUGACAUGGCGGCCCUACGUCACAUGACUGAAAUUGAUCUCAAGUGUUAGGCAUCCUGAUGGUACAACGAUGUAGGGUCUCUUCCUCCUCACCCGCAGGCCCCGUGCCGCCGCCCUCCAUACCCCCGUCCGGCGACCUGGGCGUCUGGCCGACGCCUCGCCGCUCAUUGCCGCAGCAUGCACUGGAUGGGAUGGUGUUCUACCCCUCCGUGUCCCCAAAAUGUGCCAAUGGAUGACAUUCUCCAGAUUAACAAGUUCAUUUGUGCUGCUGCUCUUACGAUGUCUCGGGGCAUUGGGGUGGGCAAGAUGAAGGUGCUCAGCGGUUGCUGCAAGCGCUGUGAGGCCGGGCGGUGGAGGCGUACGCAUGGGCCACAGUUCAGGUGCCAAAUCUUGCUCAUGGAGGGAUCAUAUAUAGCCAGACACUUAUAGUAGAUGAAGCUCACCGUUCGUAUCAUGAGAAUGUGGGAACACUCUAAUAUGGAUUCUACUGUGUUACAUGGUCCAAAUUUCCUUAUGGUUGAUCACAAGGGCAACACAAUGGAAGGAACGAUCCCCACAUAUAGGAUGUGUACCUACGAAAAUGAGUUCCAAAAAGGGGUCAUAUAUACGAUUGAAAACUUUUAUGAUACGUACAGCCAGGAAAAAAAUACAGGGCGGUGGAGCAUCCGUUCUGGCUCAGAUUCGCUCAACAAACAUUAAUAUAACCAGUCGUUCCGCAACCAGAAGAUUUACCUGUGUGUGGAACGACUGGUUAUAUGAAUGUUUUCAUCUUCGAUAGAAGGACACCGAGAGGCACGUGCGAUGUGAUUUCCCUGUAGACAUCAUGUCUGACGGUACCUCAUUCGAGGAUGGUCUCUUUGUCGCACAAUCGACGACACUGUGGGGCUCUGCAGGAUGUUUUCCCAUGAAAAACCAGAGACUGCGAACUUCAUCACCGAUAAUUCGCUCCACCUUCUAAACAGCAAGUAUGCAUCUUUAUCUUUGUGCAAAA